AAUGGAGAUCACUUGCUCUUCAAUGUCAAAAAAAGUUACAUUUAGUUCUUUGAGAAUGCCAAAAGUUGAUGUAGAACACAUAGGUUUGACUUCUAAAUCAUCCGAAACGAUAAACAAAGAAGGUGACAUUGUGAAUCUGCCAAAUUCACUUGUGCCACCACUUACAUCCCUUGGAUCUAUAAGUUGACGAUCUGGAAGUUCCACUAAAAUUGGAAGCAACUCAUUCUCGCAUUUAUGUUUUGGUGCAACACCAGGGUUGAGUAAUCUGUUUUGGUAAGAAGAAAAAGAAAACCAUUGUGACUCCAAAUCCGUUACACUUUUAUACAAGUUGUCUAUGCAUCCUAGUCCAGAAAUCCCGUUUAGAGCUUUGAUCACUGAUCCAAUAGGAAAAGUAAGGAAACUGAAUAGAAAAUCAACAAAUGAAUCCUUUGCUUCAGCAUACAAUAUCUUGUUUCUAGAAUUGCUUAAUACUAGCUUCAGGUUUAUUUUACUGGAGUCUACGGUUUGCAGGUCAGGGAACAGUUGAGAAAUUCUUGGCUCAGUCAUGAUGUUGUUGUCAACUAUAGCUUGCUUGUUCAUAAACACCUCAGUUAAAGGAGAUUUUGAGAUCAAUGAACAAGCGAGCAGUCUUAAUAUCUGGACAAAGAAAACGAAGAAAAUGCACGUGAGAUAACAUCAAAAAGAGGAAAAGAAAAUUCCCAAUAGCAUUAGAUGUUGCAAUUUAUUCUUCCCCUUUCUAUAACAUCAAACUGUUUUCUCAUACCUUACCCUUCAUCUGAAGGUGCUGUCACUAUCAUUUGAUUCGGAUAUCUUUUAAAUCAAAAUUUUGCAAUAUGCAUGCCUGUUGUUUUCAAAUCGGUGGUACAUAUAAUAAUACAGAAAACACUCAUUCUUAAACUGACAUACCAUGUUUCCACAUUCUGCUGAUCUAACUUUUCCAAUUUUAUCAUUUGCGGCUAGAUGGAACAAGUACACCAUUGGCUAUGUGAAUCUUUAUUGACUAUGUUGCUCCAUUAAACUUCAUUUUAGUCCACUAACAUAUAAUCUUUGAUAUGACUAUACAUACGACUACUAGAAUUCAUAUAAAUCCUUUGCUUUCAUUGCAUCCUAUUUUUCUCUAGGUAUACAUGAAUUCAGAGUUGAUUUCUAUAACUCAACUUAAAAGGAAGGUAAGACGGACAAAUCAAAACGGAAGGUAUUGUUACUCAUUAUUAGUUUAGUGAUCAUAUGAGAAAUCAACAUCAUGGAUUCAUUACUCUAGAUUGCUUAUUGAAAAUAUAGCAAAAAUAGCAAAAAGCAAGAUCCUUACCUCCUCCUUGCCAACUUCCACAAACAUCUCCUUUAUCUGGUUCAUGUGAUUGUAGCCAAGAUCAGAAAACAAUUGCACAAGAGAAAUUGGAGAACCAGGUAAUACUCUUAAGUCAUCACUUAUUAUAAACUUUAUCCCUCCCCUCACAAAAACACCUGAAUAAUCAUUUGUUGGAUUUUUAAUCUCUGAAAAUAUCUCCAUAGUUGUCUUCCCUCCACAAUUACAUUUAACAUUAACGAACCAGCACUUGUUAUAACAUUUAGAGCAUUCGAAGUACUUGUUGGAAACAGAAUCAUCUAUCUUCACUUUCAACUUGAAACAAUCUUCAAUACAUGGAUUUCUUGGAUUUAAAAGUAUUGACUUGCAAUUUUCUGUGCAAAGAUGGUUAACGCUAAGAUUUUCAACACUUUUGUAUAAAUUGUUCAUACAAGUAGAAAUCUUUGGCAUUGGCUGGUUGUUGUUGGUUAGUCUGAUUAUUGUUCCAAUUGGAAAAGUGAGGAAACUGAAUAAUAUAUCCACAAAAUCCUUGUUGGCUUCAGCAGCAAUAACUCUGUUGUUCUUUUCAUCUAUCAAAAGCUUUAGGGGAACUCUGCAUUCUUGAUCAUUAGCAGCCAUUUGAAUAGUUUGGUUAGUCUUUCUUUCUUUUUGAUUGAACAAAAUGUUUUAACUUAGGUAUGGGAGUGAAAGGUUUGUAGGAAUAUAAAAAGGUGUGUUUCUUAUAUCAUAAGGAAAGAGUUUGAUGCUAAUUCAGGUUUACUUGGCUUUUCAUUUUCAUUUUAGAAUAUUAACUACUUUGAGUUAAUUAAGACUGAUGGUGACAUCAAAGUAAGGCAUUUCUAAAGAAGAAGGAGAGGUUAAGGAUAAAAGUUAAAGAGACAAAAGAGAAAAGAAUCCAAUGACUAAUUUAUUUACUUUAAAGAUUAGAUAUGUCCAUUAAAGGUAAAGUAUUUAUUUACUUUAAUGUCCACUUAAAGGAAUCAUUCAAAGUGCCAAUUUCUCCCUUCUUUGGUUUGAUGUUAGCGUGACUCAAUCAACAGUUGACUCUGCGUUACAGUUUUGAUGUACGGGGGAGUGAGGGCAGGUUUUGAGGUUAAACACAAGAAGCUAGUCAAGUGAGUGUAAAUACAAUAAAAAUACUGGCAAAAGUUAUACUCCACUAGUGUUUGCUAACCAGCCUGAGAAUAUCUUAAGUUAGACUUCACAUCUUCAACAUGUGAUUUAGGCCCACUGUCAAAGCUGAUAAUGAUGACAUUAAAGAGACCUUCAGCAAGCUUAAUGCUUCUGACUCGCCAACGCUGAUCACUUGUUCUCCAACAUCAUAUAAAAGGGAUAGUGCCUUAGCAAAUUUCCCGAACUUCUGAGGGUGUUUAUUCUUUAGAGGUACAGGUUCCAUUGGGUCAAAGAAGUGAACUUCUGCAUUUUCAGAUUUAUGGUAAAGCACAAUAUGAUUCUCAACAGUACUUCCAUUACCGUUGCUAGUUGGAUACGUAUUGAACCAUUUUGAAUAUAAAGCCUCCACACUUUUGUACAAGUUAUCUAUGGAUCCCAAACCACAACUCCCUUUUAGAGCAUCUUCAAGAUGUUGAAGAGAAAAUCAAUGAAUUCAUUGCCGGCCUCUGCACACAAGACCAUGUUUGUAGACUUUCUUACUGUUAGCUUCACCUCUAAUUUCUUUGUGUUAAGACUUGUUCCAUUUUCCGGAAUGGAUGACAAAUUUCCAAACUCAGUCAUUGGGAUGGUGUCGAAUCUUGUUUUUUUAUUUUAUUUUAUUCCGGUAGUAUUAGAGUGGGUAAAAAUCUCACAUUGGUUGGGGAAUGGACUUGUGGUCUCCUUAUGGACUUGGGCAAACCUCUUCUCAAGAGCUAGCUUUUGGGGUUGAGUUAGACCCAGAUGCCAUAUAUUUACAUGGUAUCAGAGUCAGAGUCAGGUCCAUCCGUGUUUGGGCUCCCGGUCCACGCUCCAAUUGGGUGUUAAGAAUAGAACCAGGGGACAAGGGUGUUUAUCGAAAAAAAUUGUCAUUUUGAUUAACAGUAAAAAUUUGUAAAGAGGGGUUAAAGAAAGGUUGGUUAAGGUAGAUCAAACUCAUUUCUUUUCGCCUAAUAAGAGGACAUUAUUUGUUCCUCUAGUAUAGUACCAAAGUCAUAAUCUUUAGGUUGUUAUUUGUUAAAAAGAAGGCUCAUUCCUACUUCAUCAAAUAUAUUUGUAGCAUCACAAAAACUUUGCUAGCUUUACAGGCUAAUUUUACCUCAUUUAAUUAGGAGAUCUGAAUAAACUUGCAGUGCAAUAAAAAAUUGUCCAUAAGGCAAUACAAACUGAAUUUAUCAUAAAUUGACUAGUUUUAUACGGGCUGUUAGCUUACCACAGCUAUAUUCCUUUAUCAGGACUCACAACCAGAAAUAUAAAAACAAAUAUUAGAACAUAUUUUGGUAUAGCCACCAAGCCAAGUUGCUUUUGUAGUUUGUAGCAUUUUAGUCUACCUCUUCUCUCUGUGUUUUCAAGAAUGAGCUCAAGGCAAGAGUUAAAGCAGAUGAUGAUCCGAUUAAAGCCGCCUGUAGCAAGCACUGCGCCUGUCAUAGAAAUCAUGGUGUUAUUUUUUUUUUCGUUACAAUUUAAAGCAAUGUAAUUAGUUUUUAGGUUGAGCCAAGAAAUUACCUCAGCCUUACCAAAAGAGAUCACUUUCUCUUCAAUGUCAAACAAGGGUACAUUUAGUUCUUUGAGUAAACCAAAACUUGAUGUUGAACACAUAGGUUUGACUUCCAAAUCAUCCGAAACGAUAAACAAAGAAGGUGACUUUGUGAAUCUGCCAAAUUCACUUCUGCCACCACUUAUGUCCCUUGGAUCUAUAAGUCUAUUAUGAUCUGGAAGUUCGACAAAAAAUGGAAGCAACUCAUUCUGGCAUUUAUGUUUUGG
rnacentral:lncRNA from 1 species